GAGUUUGAUCGUGGCUCAGGAUGAACGCUGGACGGCGUGCUUAACACAUGCAAGUCGAACGAAGAAGACAGAAAGCUUGCUUUUUGUUUUCUGAGUGGCGGACGGGUGAGUAACGUGUGGGCAACCUAUCCUAAACAGGGGAAUAAUCAUUGGAAACGAUGACUAAUACCGCGUAAUGUCGCCGAAAGGCAUCUUUUGGCGAAGAGAGGAGCAAUCCCAGUUUUGGAGGGGCCCGCAUCUGAUUAGCUAGUUGGUGAGAUAACAGCCCACCAAGGCAACGAUCAGUAGCCGACCUGAGAGGGUGAUCGGCCACAUUGGGACUGAGACACGGCCCAAACUCCUACGGGAGGCAGCAGUGGGGAAUAUUGCACAAUGGGCGCAAGCCUGAUGCAGCAACGCCGCGUGAAGGAA
rnacentral:rRNA from 1 species